AAUAGAUACCCAGGUAGUCCACGCCCUAAACGAUGUCGACUGGGUGUUGGGGAAAGCGAGUUCUCUAGUACCGUAGCUAACGCGUGAAGUCGACCGCCUGGGGGAGUACGGCCGCAAGGUUAAAACUCAAAGGAAUUGACGGGGACCCGCACAAGCGGUGGAUGAUGUGGAUUAAUUCGAUGCAACGCGAACAACCUUACCUACCCUUGACAUGUCUGGAAGCCUGCUGAGAGGCGGGUGUGCCCGAAAGGGAACCGGAACACAGGUGCUGCAUGGCUGUCGUCAGCUCGUGUCGUGAGAUGUUGGGUUAAGUCCCGCAACGAGCGCAACCCUUGUCCCUAGUUGCUGCGCAAGGGCACUCUAGGGAGACUGCCGGUGACAAACCAGAGGAAGGUGGGGAUGACGUCAAGUCCUCAUGGCCCUUAUGGGUAGGGCUUCACACGUCAUACAAUGGCCGGUACAGAGGGUUGCCAAGCCGCGAGGCGGAGCCAAUCCCAGAAAGCCGGUCGUAGUCCGGAUUGCAGUCUGCAACUCGA
rnacentral:rRNA from 1 species